AAGAGGACAUUAUUUUGGGAAUUUAGAAUUACACUUUGAUGAUGAUAAAUCUGAAAUAUAGGAUCAUUCUAUCCACUCUAACUUCACACUCUAAGGUUUACAUUAGGGAGUUUGUAUUAUCAGAAUUGAAAAUGUGCUCUCAUUCAUCCUCAGUGUGGAGCUCAGCAGAGAGUGAAUUCUGAAAGGUAAUGUUUAAUGUACAAAAAAUAGAUCCAACAAAAGAAACAAAGACAAACAGUGCCACUUAAACUGAGAAAACUGGGCUUUUGUUUUCCUUGUUUAACCAGGUAAAACUCACUGACAUAAAGACAACUGAAGGAGACAUCUUUGUCAUUGGCAAACUCAAAACCUCCCUAAUAAAUUAAAGAUUAUAUACAUUACAUUACUGAAAAUAACGGUUAUGUUCAUUAUAGAUUCAUCUGGAAAUAUUUUUCUCGAUCAGUUGAUUAAUCGUUAAUUUACCACAUCCAUGUUCUAUCAUAUAUGUCAAAGAAAAAGAAAAUCUUCACAUUCAAGAAGCCUUGUGUCACAGAUCCACAUCCCCCUGCUUUUACUCUCUCCGGCCACAGGGUGGCACUGGCGGGCUCAACAAACUUAAACUCAGCUACGUAAGGUAUCGUAAAAUAAACAAAGCAAACAAAGAAUCAUGAGCCAGGCGGUGGGACUACUUUAAACUAUGGCUGUUUAUGGAGCUUAUCUUGAUGCUAGCUAGUCCCGCGACAGUCAUCUCUCCUGUGGAACCAGGCCCAUGGUGACGUCUCCAGAUUCCUUGUUUUGUCCGAGCAUCAAUCCAACACCCAAAGUGAGCAGUGAAUACUUUCUUACCUGGGUCACAUUCCCUUCAGUUGUUAGAGGUGGAAAACCAUGAGGAUUUUCAAGACCGUGCCACACACUGGACUGAAUGGAAAGAACUUAGUUAUCCUUUAAUGUAUGUAUGUAUGCUGAUAAAUCUGAAAUAUUUACUUUGAAAAUAUGAUCAUUCUAUCCACUCUAAAAUCACACUCUAAGGUUUACAUUGGGGAGUUUGUAUCAUCAGAAUUUGUCAUUCAUCAUCAUCAAUGUGGAACUUUUGAAAGGUAAUGUUUAAUUUACAAAAUAGAUUUUUUUUAAAGUGUAUGUUAGAAACAGGCCUGUGUUCCUGUCCCCUCCUAUUUAUUUAUAGCACUAUAUAUCUCUUAUUUUAUUUUAAAACAGUUGUAAUGUCUUCUUUUCCCUUGUUGAACCAGGUAAAAAAAACUCACUGAGAAAAAAAAUCAAACAUCUUUGCCAUUAUAAUACACAUUACAAGACAAUACACAUUAGGGCUGCAACGAUUAUGUUCAUUGUAGGUUAAUCUUGAAAUUAUUAUUAUUAUUAUUUAUUAUCAGUCGAUUAAUUGCUUUGCUUAUAAGAAAAAAAUAAUUUACCCAUUCAACCUACU